UAAGGAAUAUUGGUCAAUGGACGCAAGUCUGAACCAGCCAUGCCGCGUGGAGGAUGAAGGUCCUCUGGAUUGUAAACUUCUUUUAUCUGGGGCGAAACACUUCUUUUCUAAGAGGCCUGACGGUACAAGAUGAAUAAGCACCGGCUAACUCCGUGCCAGCAGCCGCGGUAAUACGGAGGGUGCAAGCGUUAUCCGGAUUCACUGGGUUUAAAGGGUGCGUAGGUGGGUAUGUAAGUCAGUGGUGAAAUCCCCGAGCUUAACUUGGGAACUGCCAUUGAUACUAUAUAUCUUGACUACCGUAGAGGUAAGCGGAAUAUGUCAUGUAGCGGUGAAAUGCUUAGAUAUGACAUGGAACACCGAUUGCGAAGGCAGCUUACUAUGCGGUGAUUGACACUGAGGCACGAAAGCGUGGGUAGCAAACA
rnacentral:rRNA from 1 species